AUACCAAUUGUGAAGGAUAUAGUAUGUUCGAUUUAGCUAGAUAGGUUAAGAUAAUCUACGACACACGCAAGUUUAACGAGUUCCUGGUAUCAACCAGUACGUCUCGUGUGGGAUCUCUUGCCCACAAACUUCACUAGAAUCAAAAGGAGUUUACAAGCACUAAUGAUCUCUCUUUGCUCUGUCUCAAUCUCAGGUGUUCAAGCACAACCUCAAGAUAGAACAGCAGCCAACAACAACAAGAAAACAACGUAUGAAAAACCUAGGUGUUACAAGAUGUAUUUAUAAGUCUUGCUCCACCGACUUGUCUUUCACGUUUGCGAGUGGGCCUUUGUGCACUAAAGCCCAAGUCUCUCUUCUUACUCUUAUGUUGAUGAUGCUUGUUAUGGGCCGACAGGAUGGAUUUGGGCUGAGUCACAUUAGUUCACAAUCUCCACUUUGACUCACCAAACCCUGAUGAAAGAUGCCGUAGCAGCUCCUUCCUCUUUCGAUCUUCCGACAGUUUUCGACAUCUUGUCGCCACCUCCUGUCGAUUGCUCCUUUCCUGAUUAACUAAAGAACCAGCUUCGUUCUCUUAUUAACCUCCGUCGACCCCUGUCUCCUUUCAAUCCCUGCUCUAGUGAAGCUCCGAACAUCCGCCUCCAAUGGCGUGUGUUCAAUACUCUGUCAUUCUGCUCACUCAGUUCCUCGUGAAGAUCCCGAAUCAAAUCUCAGAGAUGCGUUCAACACUGUUUUCUUCAGUCAAGUCUUGGGAAAACAAUAUAAUCCUCAAACCAUAUCUGUAGAUAACCACAAUUAAUCCAAUGUCCAGAGAACCUCUCAGCCAAGUUAACUUCCAGUGAACAAGCUCCAAGCUUCCUGACAAUUCAGCAGGCAAAGCAUUACUGCUUAGAGAUACUACCUGCCUAUUUUACUUAGACUCGUAUUGAAAGAACUCCGUGAUAGGUCCAACCUCCACUUAAAUGUUCUCUUCCUUGCACAACUGCUCUUGAGUCUCGUAGAGUUGCUCAGUCCUAUUUCUUUAAGAAUAUAGCGCAACUAAUAUACUUCUAUUUUCUGUCGUUUCCAUACAAGCUUCCGGUGUCCAGUUACAGCCACAGAAUCGAUGAGCUUCUCCCACUGUACACACGCUUCAAGGUUCUCAAACGUCAACAAAACGGAACCUGCAAGGACUACAAUUCUUCUUAGGCGAUCUUUAGAAGCUCCAGGCAUUCCCGGAACUUAUUUCCUGGUAACAACUCAAGGACUUCAGAAUACGGAACCGCACAAACUGGAACUCCCAACUCCUCGCAACAGAUAAGUGAUAACUCGCCUUGUAGACUUUCUAUCUGCUCAAACCAACGCUCUGAUACCACUUGUUAGGC